CGAAGGUUACAAGUGAGGCGCAGAAGGCUCGCUUGUCGAAUAAGAAGCUUUAUAAUUUGGAGCUACUUUUUAAAUCAGAUGACAAGCAGAGCCAUGUGCAAGUCCUGGAGGCGUUACGGCCACACCAAGAUCUGGAAAGUUUACGGAUUAGUUUUUAUGGUGGCACCACCCAGCCCAGUUGGAUGAUAUCCUUAGAGAAUUUGAAAAUCACUUUCGCUUGAGCACUGGGAUGGAUGUGAGUUUUUGCCUCCACUUGGGAAAUUGCCCGUCCUUGAAAAACUAUCAGUAACCCGAUUGGAGAAAGUGAAGACGGUUGGAGAUGAAUUUCUGGGCAAUCGUUAAUACUCGUCCUCAUCCUCUGUUUCAUUCCCAAGAUUGAAACAACUCACCUUCAGCGGUAUGAGUGAGUGGGAACAGUGGGAAGGAGUUGGAGGGCAGACAGAAAUCGGUGGUGAUGAAAUUACAAUUAUGCCAUGACUUGUGUCCUCCACAAUUGAGAACUGCCCUAAGCUGAUGAACCUGCCACUCUUCCUGCAAAACACACCGGUCACGAUUAUUUACGUCAGUUGUUGUCGUCAGAGUAUUAUGAUACCUGUCAUGCCCGACAACUGUGACGUCAACAUAGAGUUACAGAUUCAGAUGCAACCACUUUGCCAGCUUUGGAUUUGGAAGCAGAAAAUGUUGCAAUAGCACCCUUUUGGCAAGUCAAACCUCAGGGGAGCAGUGGAUCAGCAGAAUAUGACACUCCUGUAUCUUUAUGGCAAUGUAGAUGCAUGGAGACUCCAAAAUUGCAUCAGAGUUGUCAAGCUUGUGAUUAGUCACUAAAGAGAUUAGGUACUAAUAAGUAAUAACCAUAAGCUAGAUAUACCAAUGUAUCACCAUGCAAGGUUUAUAAGUGUCUGUCAUGUGGCUGAAAAGUUGGCAACUUGGCAUUUAGCUUGCAGGAAAUUUUUAUAUGGUGUCAACAUUACUUAUUCUAGAUGUCCUGUGCUUUCCUUAUCAAUUUAAUGAAGUCUUAAAACUUUAUUUGGAG